UGGCUCAUUAAAUCAGUUAUCGUUUAUUUGAUAGUACCUUACUACUUGGAUAACCGUGGUAAUUCUAGAGCUAAUACAUGCUUAAAAUCCCGACUCACGAAGGGAUGUAUUUAUUAGAUUAAAAACCAAUGCCCUUCGGGGCUCUUUGGUGAUUCAUAAUAACUUUUCGAAUCGCAUGGCCUUGCGCCGGCGAUGGUUCAUUCAAAUUUCUGCCCUAUCAACUUUCGAUGGCAGGGUCUUGGCCUGCCAUGGUGACAACGGGUAACGGAGGGUUAGGGCUCGACCCCGGAGAAGGAGCCUGAGAAACGGCUACUACAUCCAAGGAAGGCAGCAGGCGCGCAAAUUACCCAAUCCCGACUCGGGGAGGUAGUGACAAUAAAUACUGAUACAGGGCUCUUUUGGGUCUUGUAAUUGGAAUGAGUACAAUUUAAAUCCCUUAACGAGGAACAAUUGGAGGGCAAGUCUGGUGCCAGCAGCCGCGGUAAUUCCAGCUCCAAUAGCGUAUAUUAAAGUUGUUGCAGUUAAAAAGCUCGUAGUUGAACCUUGGGCCUGGCUGGCCGGUCCGCCUCACCGCGUGCACUGGUUCGGCCGGGCCUUUCCCUCUGGGGAACCGCAUGCCCUUCACUGGGUGUGUCGGGGAACCAGGACUUUUACUGUGAAAAAAUUAGAGUGUUCAAAGCAGGCCUAUGCUCGAAUACAUUAGCAUGGAAUAAUAGAAUAGGACGUGUGGUUCUAUUUUGUUGGUUUCUAGGACCGCCGUAAUGAUUAAUAGGGACAGUCGGGGGCGUCAGUAUUCAAUUGUCAGAGGUGAAAUUCUUGGAUUUAUUGAAGACUAACUACUGCGAAAGCAUUCGCCAAGGAUGUUUUCAUUAAUCAGGAACGAAAGUUAGGGGAUCGAAGACGAUCAGAUACCGUCGUAGUCUUAACCAUAAACUAUGCCGACUAGGGAUCGGGCGAUGUUAUUAUUUGACUCGCUCGGCACCUUACGAGAAAUAAAGUCUUUGGG
rnacentral:rRNA from 1 species